rnacentral:tRNA from 1 species
UGUGUGUAAUUUNAAAAAAAUACCAAGCUGUGACCUUGACAACAGGAUA